rnacentral:rRNA from 1 species
UACGGAGGGUGCAAGCGUUAUCCGGAUUCACUGGGUUUAAAGGGUGCGUAGGUGGGCAAGUAAGUCAGUGGUGAAAUCUCCGGGCUUAACCCGGAAACUGCCAUUGAUACUAUUUGUCUUGAAUACUGUGGAGGUCUGCGGAAUAUGUCAUGUAGCGGUGAAAUGCUUAGAUAUGACAUAGAACACCAAUUGCGAAGGCAGCUGACUACACAAAUAUUGACACUGAGGCACGAAAGCGUGGGGAUCAAACAGG